AACCAUCUUAGCCUUUUUGAAGUGUACAGUUCAGUGGUAUUUAGUACAUCCACAUUGCUGUAUAACCAUCACCACAAUCCAUCUCCGGAACUCUUUUCACCUUGAAAAACAGAAACUCUAUACCCAUUAAAUAAAAAUGUUCCAUCAUUUCUCCCUACCACCUGGCCCUUGGCAACUACUGUUCUACUUUCUGUCUCUAUGAAUUGACUACUCUAGGUAUUUUGUAUAAGAGGAAUCAUACGAUAUUUAUCGUUUUGAGAUUCACUUAUUUCACUUAGCAUAAUGUCUUUAAGUUUCAUCCAAGCUGUAGUACGUGUCAAAAUGUUCUCCCUUUUUAAGGCUAAAUAAUAUUUCAUUGUAUUUGUGACAUUUUGCUUUUCCAUUCAUCAAUUGAUGGAUACUUGAGUUACUUCCACCUUUGGGCUCUUGUGAAUAAUAUUGCUGUAAACACAGGUGUAAAGAUAUCUCUUUUUAAGACCCUGAUUUCAGUUCUUUGUGGAUGUAUACCUGGAAUUGGAAUUGCUGGAUCAUAUGGAAAUUCAAUUUUUAAUUUUUCGAGGAACCACCAUGCUGUUUUUCUCAGUAGUUGCAUCAUUUUACACUCCACCAAUAGUGCACAAGGGGCCCAAUUUCACCACAUCCUCAUCAACAUUUAUCAUUUUCAGGUUUUUUGUUCAUAGUUGCCGUCCUAAUGGUGUGAGGUGGUAUGAUAAGUACGCUAUAUGCCUCACAACAACUAUGCAGUAGACAGUAUUAUAUUCCUCAUUUUACAGAUCAGGACAUUAAGGCUUGGAGAUGUCAAAUAAAUCAUUCAAGCCUGCACAGCUGGUUUUAUUCAAGUCUAUCUGACUCUAGAGCCAUUCUAGGAAAAAUAAGGGCCCUAUUCUAUGUGCUGGCCAUAUCGACACAGAUCAACAAAAAAAUGAGUGCUUUUCUUUUUCCUUUUAAUGGCUAAAAUUGCCACAUGCCUUCUUAGGGAAACAGAACUCUGCUCAUUGAAUAUGAGCACAAAGAAGACAUUCUUCCUUUAUUAUUCUAAGCAAAGCAAAGGAGAAAUAAGCUAAGCAACAAUGGGAUAAUUUAUUCUCCAUGCCAUACUAACUUUCCUAAUUGGGCAAGCAAGAACUGACCCAGUGACUCCUCCUAGGGUUGGGGGCAGAAUGGCUAUUUUCUAUCAGCCUAAGCAGAACAUGCCUUUAAAAAGAAGAAUUGAUAGCCCAGAGAGUAUUGUCUUAGAUCCAAGGUCAAAGGCAUAAACAUAAACUUACGCAUUUCAUUCCCACCUGUGAAACUUCUGCUUAGCAAUUCUAGAUUGGAGUCCCAAAUCUGCCACUUCUUAGCUUGGCAAACUUUAGGAAAAUUUGUUCGCCUAUUUGAAACUCAGUUUUCUCAUCUAAAAAUGGGAAUAAAAAUACCUUUUUUAUAACAUCUGUCCUCUUCUUCCCAAAGAAAGAGUAAGAACAAACCAAACAAACUUCUUAUGUGUGUUAGAGAAUCAAGCUUGGUCCCACCACUGCUCUCUCUGGUUCAACCUGACGAAAGUGUUCCCUAAUGCAGACUGAUUUAAUCAUUAAAAGACCUUGGGAACAGAAUGUCCCAGCUGAGAUGCGACUUGGUGCCAGGCUACUGUAGGGAAGUAGGAGGGUACAGCAAUGCUUUCCUACCUGGAGGAGGAUACAAAUGUGCAGACUGGAACAGGGGAAAUCCAGGGGCCUGGCCCAGUCUUGGAUUUAAUCAACUUCAACUACGAUGUGGGGCAGCCCACUGAAGCUCUCCCAACUGAAGUUCCUAUUCACUUCUGUAAAAUGAACAGCUUACUUUUCCCAAUAACUCAAUGUAGCUUUCUUAAUCUUUCUGCCAAGUUAACAUAAUUCUGUCUUUUCACUACUUUUGUGGCUCUAUUUCUUAUAUCUGUGCUCCCAUGAAAUGGGUUCUUAUACAUAAAUGCUUAGCACUUUUCUUGUCAUGUAUAGUUGUUCGAUAAACAUCUUUUCUUUGUUUCUCCCUCCUUCCUUCCACCCCUCCUACUUGCACCCUGGAAAUGAGAAAGGUUCGUAACUAAGGCUCACGGAACUGUUUCUGGCUGCAUGUUCAUUUCAUGUUUCAUCAGGAUCCAGACCUAAUUCACCACUACUUCUUGAAUGAAGAUGGCUGGUCAUUAUACAGUACCCUGAACAGGUGAAAUAAGUCCCCAAGGAUGUGGGAGCCCAUGAAACAGAACUGUGGUUUCACAAUCAGAGAGUACAUUCUGGAAUCACACAGAUACGGGCUGGAACCCAAGUUCCCCAAGUCAUGUAAAUGAGGCACAUUCUAGAGUGGUGUUAAAGAUCUCAGGUUCUCAAGUCUUAACCAGUUUAAAUUCCAGCUCUGUCCUGUAGCAGCUGCAAUAUCCGGGGUGAUGUUUAGCCUCCUUCUUGUGUUUCAACUUCCUCAUCGGUAAAAGGGGAUAGUGACAGAACUUAAUUCACAGGGUUGUUGGGAGGAUUAAAUGUAAUAACACAUAUGAAGCAUUUAGGGCAAUGCCUAAUGCAAUUUAGUAAUAUUGUGCUUAUUACUGCUGCUACUAUGAUUAUUAUUUCUACAGUUACUACUGCUGCUAUGAUGGAGUCCACUGCCUGCUUAAAAGCAUUACUCAUUUUAUGACUGUUUCUUGUAUUCAGAUAUAUCCUGUGAAAGACACCUUAAAGCACAGUUCCUAGAAAUUAUGUACUGACAUGAAGUUCUGGAGGGAUUAUACUUCUUGUUUUUAAGUAGAAUUUCUCAGAUUAUUAAAAAAGUAUGUUAAUAUAAACUCAUUUGCCAGUUGAAUGAGAUAAUGUUUUUACCAUGGGAAUUAAAUAUAUGUGUAAAAUGAAAAUUAUGUAAAAUUUUUACUCACUCGAAAAGAUAUCUUUAAACACCUACCACACUACAAUGUAACUUAUUCCAGGCUACAAAUAAGAUUAGUGACAAAGAGAAGAAAAUAGUAUUUAAAACCCUAAAUGGACAUGCAUAAGCAUAAAUGUUGAAAAUUUCAAGUGGAAUAAACAUUUCCAAAAU
rnacentral:lncRNA from 1 species